AUUGAACGCUGGCGGCAGGCUUAACACAUGCAAGUCGAACGAGUGGCGGACGGGUGAGUAAUGCUUGGGAAUCUAGCUGAUGGAGGGGGAUAACUACGGGAAACUGUAGCUAAUACCGCGUACCAUAGGAUGAGCCCAAGUGGGAUUAGGUAGUUGGUGAGGUAAAGGCUCACCAAGACGACGAUCCCUAGCUGGUCUGAGAGGAUGACCAGCCACACUGGGACUGAGACACGGCCCAGACUCCUACGGGAGGCAGCAGUGGGGAAUAUUGCGCAAUGGGGGCAACCUGACGCAGCCAUGCCGCGUGAGUGAAGAAGGCCUUCGGGUUGUAAAGUUCUUUCGGUGGCGAGGCGUUACCUACAGAAGAAGCACCGGCUAACUCCGUGCCAGCAGCCGCGGUAAUAC
rnacentral:rRNA from 1 species